ensembl:snRNA U6 U6 spliceosomal RNA
GUGCUCGCUUCGGCAGCACAUAUACUAAAAUUGGAAGGACACAGAGAAGAUUAGCCCGGCCCCUGUGCAAGGAUGACAGGCAAAUUCGUGAAGGGUUCCAUGUUUUC